GCCUAUGCAACGGUGUGGAGCUGGAAGCUGACUGGAGUGUCAUGUGGGAGAAACAGCCAGAAGGUUCCUUUGGAUGAUAUCAUCGGAACAGCCGAAAGUCGUGCAAGAGAAGACCACUGAGACAAGUUAAGGAGCAGAAUACAGAAAUACAGAAUGUUAAUAUAGAUUGUAUUGGGAAAACAAGAGAACUUUUCCAGAGAGAAUGAAAUGCUUUAAAGGAAGCCAAGAAAACCACCAAAAAACUGCUUAAAACCAUGUUUAUGACAUAAAAAGACUGCUUACCUAGCUGAGGGUAAAAGGUCUCAUUUCAUAAGACAAAAGUUCAUGUCACCUGACGGUAAUGAUGUGGUCAAAAUAAUAUUUGGCAAAUCAUAUGCAAAGCAGCAUUGAAUGCUUCCACUUGAAGUUAAUAUGCUGUGAACAAAAUAUUAAUUUAUACCAGUGGUUAAAAAAAGAAUCUUGAGUAACAAUAUCAUCAAUGGCACAUUUUGAGAAACAACACCAAAAAACCAAACCAAAACAGAACAGAACAAGC